AGAUGAUGAUGACGACGAUGAUGAACGGUAGAGGUGGGGUAGGAGGAGGCGGGGGUGGAGGAGGUCCGGUCAAGGGGCUGGGAGAGGUGCUGUCGCUGCCGAUCCUCCUGGCGGAGCGGGUGGCGAAGGCGGUGGACGAGGCGGAGUCGUUCAGGUCGGAGUGCGCGGAGGUGGGUAGGCUGGCGGAGCAGGUGGCCACCAUGUUCCGCUCCGCCGCCCGCCGCGCCGCCGCCUACGAUCGCCCCGUCCGCCGCGUCCUCGCCGAGGCCUCCAAGUCCCUCGAGCGCGCCCUCGCCCUCGUCCGCCGCUGCAAGCGCUCCGGCGUCCUCCGCCGCGUCGUCACCAUCACCACUGGUUCCGCCGACUUCCGCAAGACCCUCGCCCUCCUCGACGCCUCCCUUGCCGACCUCCGCUGGCUCAUCUCUAUCUACUCCCCCGACGACGACUCCGGCGCCGUCAUCAGCCUGCCCCCCAUCGCCAGCACCGACCCUAUCCUCUCCUGGGUCUGGAGCUACCUCCCCACCAUCCACUCCGCAGCCCACCACCCCGCCGACCGCGCCGAGGCCGCCCAGGCCCUCGCCAACCUCGCCCUCGACAACGACCGCAACAAGAAGAUCAUCCUCGAGGAGGGCGGCGCGCCGCUGCUCCUCGCCCUCCUCCGCGACGGGCCCUCCAUCGACGCCCAGAUCGCCGCCGCCGCCGCCCUCGCGAGCCUCGCCUCCGCCCCUGAGCACGUUGCCGUGCUCCUCCGUGAGCUCGCCAUCCCACCGUCGUAAGGGUCCUCUCGGACUCCCCCAUGCGCCUCCAGGCCCACGUCGCGGCCCUCGUCUCCCGGAUGGCCGCGCACGAGCCCCUCGCCCGCGAGGAGUUCGCCCGGGAGAACGCCGUCCGUCCACUCGUCUCCCUCCUCUCCUUCGAGGUCCCGCUCGACGACCCCCGCCCUGCCCCCAAGAAGCCCCCGACCAUCCACUCCCUCGUCCAAGGGAUGUCGGCAACGGCGACGGCCAAUUCCAACCUCGUUGGCCGAGUGGUUUCCAAUUCCGCGCGGCCUGUGGACUAUUACCACCACCACCGCAAGGAGCGGGAGAACGAGUGCGCCGAGGUGAAGCUUGCCCUCAGGAUUGCCUGCGCUGAGGCCCUCUGGACACUCUCCAAAGGUUGCGUCUCCAACAGCCGCAAGAUCGCCGAGACCAAAGGCCUACUCUGCCUCUCCAAUAUCAUCGAGCUCGAGAAGGGCGAGCUGCAGCACCACUGCCUUAUGACACUGUUGGAGAUCACCGCCGCGGCGGAGUCCGACGCCGACCUCCGACGCUCGGCCUUUAAAUGGAACUCCCCGGCAGCCAAAUCGGUGGUGGAGCAGCUUCUGCAGAAAGCUCAGCUGGGGAGCAGCCCAGCCCUCCAAAUUGCAGCCAUUAAGUCUAUUGGAUGCUUGGCGCGGACGUUCCCAGCUAGGGAGACUAGAGUCUUGAGCCCUCUCGUGCUCCAGCUUGGGCACUGGAACCCGGACGUGGCCGCCGAAGCAGCCCGGGCAUUGGCGAAAUUUGCUAGUCCAGAGAAUUUCCUCUGUUUGGAGCACUCCAAAACAAUUGUAGAGUUUGCAGGGGUGCCACCGCUGAUAAGGCUGCUGCGGUCGGGUGACAAGGAGCAGCUGCCUGGAGUGACUCUGCUCUGCUACUUCGCGUUGCAUGUGCCCAAGAGCGAAGCUCUGGAACGAGCAAAGGCCUUGAAUACUCUUCAUUCGGUGACUCGUACUCCGCUGGCGCAGGAUCCUUCUCUGACAGAAUUGCUCCCAAAGGCUAUCGACCAGCUUGAGCUUUACCGGGUUGGAGCACAUGCUCGUAGGCAACAACGCGACCACGUCGAUUCGAUCAAACAAGAGAAUAUUCUUGUUUAUUGAGGAAUCAUAAUGCUCUUUGGGGAAACAAUGCUCUUCAAGAUACUGAAACCUUCAAGGAUGUUAUUACUAGUUUGGGAGGUUAUAUUGCACUUGUAGGCCUGCCAGUCAACAAUAGGUUUGGGGGAGACGGAUAGGGUGAUAUCUACUUCAUUCACAUGCAGCCAUUUUUAUCAGAAGUAAUUUAUUUCAGGGGAGACGGAUGGGGUAAUAUCUACUUCAUCAUCACAUGCAGCUAUUUUUAUCCGAAGAAAUUUAUCGAAAUACAUGGAAUAGUCAUCUUGCAUCUCCUGUGUCUUCAACACUCAGAUUGUAUAGUAAAAGAAAGAUCUCUCUUCGAAAAUGAAUUGAUUUGAUGUCACAAGUACUAAAGUUUUUGUUCCUUGCUAAGGCGUUUUAUCUAAGUUACUAAUCUGAUUUAUCUUUGAUAUGGUGAAUUGCAACUUCAUUUCUCUCUCUGAACUAUCAUGCUAUGGCUAAACCUUGCAGAGCUGAGCAUUUAUUGUAGCUAUGAAUUCCCUACUUCUUUGAACAACUAAAAAUGUUAAAACACAAAACUAUUUUAGAAUUGUUGUACAAUAAAAGUCACCUA